rnacentral:tRNA from 1 species
UUCUGAUAGCUCAGUUGGUAAAGAAUCUGCCUGCAAUGCAGGAGACCCAGGUUCAAUUCCUGGGUCAGGAA